UUAAGCAAAUCAAAUCUUUAUUAAAACCUUUAUAACAGGUUCAUAAUCCAAAAUUAAACAGAUUUGACAGAUUUAAAAAUUAAAAAUAAGAGCCAUGUGAAUGACGACAGUGAGACAAAAAGUAGGAAGGAUCCAAAAACAGCAAUGGAGAAAGUGGUCUGGAAACCACAUUUCAUCGCAGGUAGCCACAUUCCACACGUAUAGAGACAGGAAGAUAUCGGUAUUCAGUCCCAGUCGGUAAUGACAUAAUAAUAAGGAAUUCCCCAGACCACGCCCAUAAAUUGGGGAAAACCCGCUGAAAUUCCGACCAAUGGUUCGCAAUGGUCCCACGUUGGGAAAUAGAGCCCUGUGGCUUGAGGCUAUUCGGUGUGGGAAAUGUGGGGACGCGGUGUCCAAGAAGGCUAUACGUAGUAGUGGAAGAUCCAGCCUACCGACGGAGGAGGAGCUGUGACUGUGGACGACGACGAGGUGCCCGUUGAGGUGUUCCAUGGCCUGUCUGUCAGAUGUCUCUACAUAUAUGCUCCCUCCUCUCAAGAUACUACCUUUCUGAACUGCCUAUCAUCUAAAGUUGACCAUCGCCAACAUACUGACAGAUCCCUACCUUUGUUUUGUUAAAUAGUUUCUGGUUACAUUUUGUUUUCAAAGUGACUUUGAGAUUCUGCUUGUAUUGAAAAGCACUAAAUAAAAUACAUAUUUUUAUUAUUAUAUAGAACUUACUUUCAAGUAAAACUUAAACUCUUCUCCUAUACCACUUCACACCUUUUCAGUGCUGACUCUGUAACCCCAGCUCUGAUUAUUCUCCCAUGACUUGCUUCUCCCCUCAUAUUUCUCCAUCUCUCUCUCUGAAAAAGAGGGAUGAAGUCACAGGUGGGGGGUUCACACAUCAAGGAGUAGGGGGUGCGUGCGACGGAAUGAGGCAAAGCGGGUGACAUUUUCAAAGGCAGAUAACGUGGAAGUCAUCAUCUGAGUCAAACAAAGGCUGGGACCCUAUCUGUGUCAACGCAUAGGGGGACGUUGGAGACUCAUUUGCACAUUGUCUAGUGGUGAGUGACCAGGUGAGCAGGUUAAGAGAGCGACAUUGAUGGCGGCUGAAUGUGUUGCUUUUUGAAUAAUUUGUUUGUUGCCAGUAUGUAGACUGUCUGUAUACGUGUGUGUGUAUCGCGGUUUUGUCUCACCAGGGGUGAUGGUCAGAUUCGUGUUACAACGAGGAAUGAGCGUUACACCGAGGCCUGUGCUCUGGAGCAGGAUUGAUUUGAAGG